rnacentral:rRNA from 1 species
UCAAGCAGAAGACGGCAUACGAGAUCAUAGCCGGUGACUGGAGUUCAGACGUGUGCUCUUCCGAUCUGUUCCCAGUCACGAUAGAAGGUGAUAGUCCUGUAGAUAAACGAAUGUAUGACUCUAGUGGUAUCCAGAGUACGGCGGGGCACGUGAAAUCCUGUCGGAAUUUAUGCAGACCACUGCAAAAGGCUAAAUACUCGUUUGUGACCGAUAGUGAACCAGUACCGUGAGGGAAAGGUGAAAAGAACCCCGGGUGGGGAGUGAAAAGAUUCUGAAACUAUGUGCCUACAAAUAGUCAGAGGGCGUUAAAGCCUGAUGGCGUGCCUAUUGAAGAAUGAGCCUGCGAGUUAAUGUAUCGUGCAAGGUUAAGGAGAUAAUCCGGAGCCGUAGUGAAAGCGAGCCUGAAUAGGGCGUUAAGUACGAUGUAUUAGACCCGAAGCCAGACGAUCUAUCCAUGACCAGGAUGAAGGUGAAGUAAAAUUUGCUGGAGGUCCGAACCGACGCCCGUUGAAACGUUCGCGGAUGAGUUGUGGAUAGGGGAGAAAUUCCAAUCGAGUUUGGUGAUAGCUGGUUCUCCUCGAAAUAGCUUUAGGGCUAGCGUUUAAAGUUUAGGUAUGGAGGUAGAGCACUGUAUGUGAAAUGGCCGCGCAUAGCGGUACUGCUCACGAACAAACUCCAAAUGCCAUAUCGUAUCUUUAAGCAGUCAGACUGUGGGGGAUAAGCUCCAUGGUCAAAAGGGAAACAGCCCAGAUCGUCAAAUAAGGUCCCAAAAUUUACGCUAAGUGUGAAAGGAUGUGGAGACGCUCAAACAACUAGGAUGUUGGCUUAGAAGCAGCCAUCAUUUAAAGAGUGCGUAACAGCUCACUAGUCGAGUAUCUCUGCGCCGAAGAUUUACCGGGGCUAAGCGUAGUACCGAAUUUACGGAUUUAAGUAGUAAUACCUAAGUGGUAGGGGAGCGUUCUGUUCGCGGCGAAGCUAGACUGUGAAGACUAGUGGAGCGUACAGAAGUGAGAAUGCAGGUGUGAGUAACGAUUACAGGUGAGAAUCCUGUACACCGAUAGAUCAAGGUUUCCUGGGGUCAGGUUCGUCCUCCCAGGGUUAGUCGGGACCUAAGACAAGGCCGAAAGGCGUCGUCGAUGGACACCAGGUUGAUAUUCCUGGACCCGUAUGUAUGCGAUGUAGUGACAGAGACAGUUAGUGACGCCGGUUAUUGGAUUCCGGUAUAAGCAGAAUACCCGUACGAUUGGCAAAUCCGUCGUGCUUAAGGGGAAGCUGUGAUGUGGAGGGAAUGGCGCAAGCCUAGUACCGAAGGUUGUGAAACUGGCUUUUGAAAAAAGCUGCUAGCUUAAGUACAUGCGGCCCGUACCGAGAACGGACACACGUGAUCAAGAUGAGUAAUCUAAGGUGAGCGAGUCAACUGUUGUUAAGGAACUCUGCAAAAUUGCUUCGUAAGUUAGCAAGAAGAAGCGCUCAACGCAAGUUGAGUCGCAGUGAAGAGGCCCAAGUAACUGUUUAUCAAAAACACAGCUUUAUGCUAAGUCGCAAGACGAUGUAUAUGAGGUGAUGCCUGCCCAGUGCUGGAAGGUUAAAUUGAGAGGUUAGUCGCAAGACAAAGCUUUGAUGUGAAGCCCCAGUGAACGGCGGCCGUAACUAUAACGGUCCUAAGGUAGCGAAAUUCCUUGUCGGGUAAGUUCCGACGCGCAUGAAUGGUAUAAUAAUUUGGGCGCUGUCUCGACAGCAGACUCGGUGAAAUCAGAAUGACCUGUGAAGAUGCAGGUUACCCGCGACUAGACGGAAAGACCCCAUGGAGCUUUACUGUAGCUUAAUAUUGAUUAAUUUUGAACUUUGUA